rnacentral:lncRNA from 1 species
GCGCGCAGGGGUGUGGCUGGGAAAGGCCGCGCUGUCCCGGGACGGUGGCGCCAGCCCCGCCGCUCAGUUCUCCGGGUUUUUAAUUUGGAAUUGUGUUUUUCUAAUGGGCGGUUGCGUCGGAAACACGGUUUUCAGAGGGCCCAGAUGAAUCCCAGCGUUUUUGCUGCGGGUGUUUUUGUGGGAAAUAAAGGGAACAAAGAAUUUUAUAAAUUAAUUUAGGUUACCGAGAACAUCAUGGCCUCGACCAAAACUAUUUUAAUUCUCCAAAUAUGAGACUUUUGGACAAGAUGGUCAGUAUUUUUUUUUCCGGCACUACGUAAAAUCUAGGUUGUAUGUGGCUUUUGUUCUGCCCCACUCAACAUAGGAACCCAUUUCUCAUUACCCUCGUUCUUUUUAAAAAAGACAGUAAGUUGUGCAGUUCUAAGCCUUUACCACCUGAGACAUGAUUUUUGGCGGGCUAGAGCAGUGGUUCUUUAGCAUGCAUCAGAAUCACCUGGAAAAGUUGUUCAAAGCUAGAUUUGUGUGCCCCAUCCCCAAGGUUCCCUCACUGCUUCUAAGAUGAUGCUUGAGAAUGGGCAUUUCUAACAACUCCUAGGUGAUGCUGAAGAUGCCAGUCCGAGACCACACUCCUGAACUGAGAAGGAACCCCCCUGUAUCCUCCUGCAGCUGGAACCCUUUGCUUUUCUGCCUGCCUAGGACCCUGUGGCCCUUACACUUCUUAAUAUUCAGACUUCCUUUCUAGUCCAAAAGUGAAUGGUGCUCAUUUAAGGAUACAUGCCUGCCUGCUUGCUCCAGCCUCUCCUGCAUUUCGUCCUCCACUCUGCCACCAGAGUUAGGUCCAAACAUAAGACUGGUCUUGUUACAUUCUUGCUUAAAAUUUGCUGUGGCUUCCUCCAUAACCCUCAGCAGGUCAGUCUGGCCCGUCUGCCUCUGGCCUCAGCCUACUUUUUCUGCCCUAUCUCCCAUAUCUUCCUAAGUGCCCACUGCCCCUCCCAGACGAAACUUCUCAUUCCAGAACACCUCUUACUAGUUCUAACUACCUUGAUCAUGGGCCUGCUUAUUUUUUCAGCCUGGGAUGUUCCUAUCACCCUUCGCAUCUGAAGACUUCUCUUACCACUUCCCAAGGAUCAAUAGUAGUUCCUUCUUUUUUUUUUUUUCGUGCCCCGUACCCCUUACAACUCCUUCACCCCCCUAGUUCCUUCUAUAAUCCCAGAGUUCAUCACUUCUCAAAUCUUUUUUUUUUUUUUUUGAGACUGAGUUUCACUCUUGUUGCCCAGACUGUAGUGCAAUGGUGCGAUCUCGGGUCACUGCAACCUCCGCCUCUCGGGUUCAAGCGAUUCUCCUGCCUCAACCUCCCGAGUAGCUGGGAUUACAGGCAUGCGCCACCACACCCGGCUAAUUUUGUAUUUUUAGUAGAGAUAAGGUUUCUCCGUGUUGGUCAGGCUGGUCUUGAACUCCCGACCUCAGGUGAUCUGGCCACCUUGGCCUCCCAAAGUGCUGAGAUUACAGGCCUUAGACACCGAGCGCCCGGCCACCUCUCAAAUCUUAAUAAAGAUCCAAAUCACCUGAGAUCCUUGUUAAACUGCAGAUUCCGGGGUUGAGGGGUGGAGUCUUAGAUGGCCCCAGGAGAUGCAGAUGCUAUACUUUGAGUUAGGAGGUUUCAUGGUUUUUUCCCUACAAUUACUGUAGCUCUGUAAUUAUUUAUGUGCAUUUUCCAUUACUACCAGAUAGCUGGGAGUUCCUUGAGGUCAUGGGGUAUUUAAGAUGCGUAUGUAUGAACUGGCAUAGCCCCUGAUACAUAGUAGGUGUUUAAUAAGUAUUGAAUAAGUGAACCAGUAUCUGAAGAUGUUUUACAAUUUAUCAAACUUAUAUAUCAGUUUAUCAUAACUUAAGAUGAGCCCCCAUUUUUUUUAGGUCCCACUGAACUUCAGCCUCUGCAUUUAACACCCAGCUUUUCUAGACAUUGACAUUCCUCCUCUCCACACGGAGGGAAAGAGUUUUCAUACAAUGCUAUAGACUAAUAAAGAUUUAUGCCCUCCGGAAGCUGAAAGGUAAUCCCCAAUGUGAUGGUAUUUGAAGUUGGGGCCUUUGGACAGCGAUUAGGCCAUGAGAGCAGAGCCCCCUUUAAUAGGAUUAGUGCCCUUAUAAAAGAGGUCCUAGGCCGGGCACCGUGGCUCACACCUGUAAUCCCAGCACUUUAGGGGGCUGAGGCAGGUGGAUCACGAGGUCAGGAGUUCAAGACCAGGCUGGCCAAGAUGGUGAAACCCCGUCUCUACUAAAAAUACAAAAAUCAGCCAGGCGUGGUGGCAGGCACCUGUAAUCUCAGCUAUUCAGGAGGCUGAGGCAGGGAAUUGCUUGAACCCAGGAGGCAGGGGCUGCAGUGAGCUGAGAUCGUGCCACUGCACUCCAUCCUGGGCAACAGAGCGAGACUGUGUCUCAAAAAAAAAGAGGUCCUAGACUACUGCUUGCCACUUCCACCAUUGUGAGAACACAGCAAAAAGGUUCAUCUAUGAACCAGGAAGUGGGCUCUCACCAGACACUGAAUCUGCUGGUGACUUGAUCUUGGACUUCACAGCCUCCAGAACUAUGAGAAGUAAAUUGCUGUUGUUUGUAAGCCACCCAGUUUAUGGUAUUCUGCUAUAGCAGCCUGAACAGACUAAGACACAUAAGGUCUCUCCUUAAAUAUGAGAUUGGUAUAUUUCAAUUUCGUUUAGAAAACAUUUUGCAUACUUAAUCUGUGAACAUAUAGGCACUUGAAUUUAAAACCAUUAAUAUAAGCGGCAGGGAAGAAGAAAUGAUACAUUAACGAGGAGCCUGAAGAGAGAUGUGUAUUAAUAGAUAGGCUGGGGAAAG